AAAAAACAUAAGGGGUAACACUGUUGUUUUUUAAUUGGUCUUCAUAAAAAAAAUAAAAAAAAGGGUAACACUGUUGUCUUUGUCAAAUAAAAUAAAAGGUGUAACACUGUCGUUUUUUAUUGGUCGUCAUGAAAAAAAACAUAAGGGGUAACACUGUUUUUUUUUUAUUGGUCGUCAUGAAAAAAAACAUCAGGGUAACACUGUUGUUUUUUAUUGGUCGUCAUGAAAAAAAACCUAAAGGGUAACAAUGUUGUUUUUUUAUUGGUCGUCAUGAAAAAAACCUAAAGGGUAACACUGUUGUCUUCAUUAGUCAUCAUGGGAAAAAAACAUAACGGGAAACACUGUAGUUUUUAUCAAAUGAAACAUGAGGGGUAACACUGUCGUUUUUAUCAAAUGAAACAUAAGGGGUAACACUGUCGUUUUUUAUCGGUCGUCAUGAAAAAAACAUAAGGGGUAACGCUGUCAAUAUUUAUAAAUUAAAACAUAGGGGGUAACACUGUUGUUUUUAUCAAAUGAAACAUGAGGGGUGACACUGUCUUUUUUCUUUGGUCGUCAUGAAAAAAACCAUAAGGGGUAACACUGUUGUUUUUUUAAUGGUCGUCAUGAAAAAAAACAUAAGGGGUAACAAUGUUGCUUUUUGGUCGUCAUGAAAAAAAACAUAAAGGGUAAUACUGUUGUCUUUGCCAAAUAAAAUAUAAGGGGUAACACCGUCGUUUUCUGUUGUUCGCCAUGAAAAAAAACAUAAGGGGAAACACUGUUUUUUUUUAUUGGUCGUCAUGAAAAAAAACAUAAGGGGUAACACUGUCGUUUUUAUCAGAUGAAACAUGAGGGGUGACACUGUCGUUUUUCUUUGGUCGUCAUGAAAAAAACCAUAAGGGGUAACACUGUUGUUUUUUAUUGGUCGUCAUGAAAAAAUACAUAAGGGGUAACACUGUGGUUUUUUUAUUGGUAGUCAUGAAAAAAACCUAAGGGGUAACACUGUUUUUUUUUUAUUGGUCGUCAUGAAUUAAAAGAUAUUUGGAAAAAAAAAAAAUUGUCCUUGUCAAAAAGAAUAUAAGGGGUAACACUGUUGUCUUCAUUAGUCAUCAUGGGAAAAAAACAUAACGGGUAACACAGUUGUUUUUUUUCAAAUUAAACGUAAAGGGUAAAACUGUCGUUUUUUAUCUGUCGUCAUGAAAACCCCAUAAGGGGUAACACUGUCGAAAUGUAUCGAAUAAAACAUAGGGGGUAACACCAGGGACGCGGGAAGUCAGUCCGAGUGGGGGGUGCUGAGAGAGAGUCUAUAUAAUGACCUCAUAAUAAAUGCUGCGCAACAUCCAUUGUUUACAGAGACAAGAUGACUGGUGACGUCACAUUCAGGGCUCCGCUCUGAUAAACACUCUACUGGUGUGUAAAAAGAGUUCUGCCAACCUGCCACUGUUAUUCACAAACGUUAGCAAGUAAACAAUGUGGAAAUUAGAGUCAACUCGGCUGAUACUGUGCUGAAUUUCACACACUGACAACAUGCCGACAAGCUGCGGUCCGGGAUUAUACACAGCGUUAUAACAAGGCUUCAGGAGGUUAUUU
ensembl:lncRNA